rnacentral:rRNA from 1 species
UACGUAGGGGGCAAGCGUUGUCCGGAAUUAUUGGGCGUAAAGCGCGCGCAGGCGGCUAUGUAAGUCUGGUGUAUAACCUCGGGGCUCAACCCCGGGUCGCACUGGAAACUGUGUAGCUUGAGUACAGAAGAGGAGAGUGGAAUUCCACGUGUAGCGGUGAAAUGCGUAGAUAUGUGGAGGAACACCAGUGGCGAAAGCGGCUCUCUGGGGACCACCUGACGCUGAGGCGCGAAAGCGUGGGGAGCGAACCGG